AUGGCGAGCCGGCAGCUGCAGGUGCUGAGCGCGCUGGACGGCGCCAAGACGCAGUUGUACCACUUCAGGGCGAUCGUCGUCGCCGGCAUGGGUUUCUUCACUGACGCCUACGACCUCUUCUGCAUCUCGCUCGUCACCAAGCUCCUCGGCCGCAUCUACUACGCCGACCCCUCCAGCCCUAACCCUGGCUCGCUGCCGCCCAACGUGGCCGCGGCCGUCAACGGCGUCGCGCUCUGCGGGACCCUCGCCGGCCAGCUCUUCUUCGGCUGGCUCGGCGACAAGCUCGGCCGGAAGAGCGUCUACGGCAUGACGCUAAUGCUCAUGGUCGUCUGCUCCGUCGCCUCCGGGCUCUCGUUCGGACACACCCCGGCCAGCGUCAUGGCCACGCUCUGCUUCUUCCGCUUUUGGCUCGGCUUUGGCAUCGGCGGCGACUACCCUCUGUCCGCCACCAUCAUGUCCGAGUACGCCAACAAGAAGACGCGCGGAGCCUUCAUCGCCGCUGUCUUUGCAAUGCAGGGCUUCGGCAUCCUCGCCGGCGGCGUCGUCACGCUCGUCCUCUCCACGGUUUUCCGUAACGCGUUCCCGGCGCCAGCGUACCAGGUCGACGCCGCCGCGUCCACCGUGCCGCAGGCCGACUACGUGUGGCGCAUCAUCCUCAUGCUCGGCGCGCUGCCAGCGGCGCUCACGUACUACUGGAGAACGAAGAUGCCGGAGACGGCGCGGUACACGGCGCUGGUCGCAAAGAACGCGAAGCAGGCCUCGCUGGACAUGUCCAAGGUGCUUCAAUCGGAGAUCGAGGCGGAGCCGGAGAAGCUCGACGAGAUCAUGGCCAGCGGCGAGGAGUACGGCCUCUUUACGUCGCGGUUUGCCAAGCGCCACGGCCUCCACCUCCUCGGCACGGCGACGGCGUGGUUCCUGGUCGAUGUCGCGUACUACAGCCAGAACCUAUUCCAGAAGGACAUCUUUGGCAGCAUCGGCUGGAUCCCCAAGGCGCGCACCAUGAACGCGCUCGAGGAGGUGUUCCGCAUCUCCCGCGCGCAGACGCUCAUCGCGCUCUGCGGCACCGUGCCGGGCUACUGGUUCACCGUGUUCCUCAUCGACGUCAUCGGAAGGUUCUGGAUCCAGCUCGUGGGGUUCGCCAUGAUGACCGUUUUCAUGCUCGGCCUCGCGGUGCCUUACCACCACUGGACGACGCCGGGCAACCACGUCGGCUUCGUCGUCAUGUACGGGCUCACCUUCUUCUUCGCCAACUUCGGGCCGAACGCAACGACGUUCAUCGUGCCGGCCGAGAUCUUCCCGGCGCGGCUCCGGUCGACCUGCCACGGCAUCUCGGCUGCGGCGGGGAAGGCCGGUGCCAUCAUCGGGGCGUUCGGGUUCCUCUACGCGGCACAGUCGCCGGACCCGGCGCACGUGGACGCCGGGUACAAGCCUGGGAUCGGCGUGCAGAAGGCGCUGUAUGUGCUCGCUGCGUGCAACCUCCUGGGGUUUUUGGUCACGUUCCUCGUGCCGGAGUCGAAAGGGAAGUCGCUCGAGGAGAUGUCCGGCGAGGCCGACGCCGAGGAAGGCAACGGCGCCAAUAAAGUCCGCCCGUCGGGAGAGCAGCUGGUUUGA
rnacentral:rRNA from 1 species